GCCUGGGUGGCUCAGUGGUUGAGUGUCUGCCUUCAGCUCAGGCCAUGAUCCUGGGGUCCUGGGAUGGAGUCCCAGAUCAGGCU
rnacentral:tRNA from 1 species